rnacentral:rRNA from 1 species
CGCGUAGGUGGUUGGGUAGGUUGGUGGUGAAAGGUUGGGGCUUAACCCCAAUAGGUCCACCAAGACCGCUCGACUGCGAGGGUAGUAGAGGAAGGUGGAAUUCCGGGUGUAGUGGUGAAAUGCGUAGAUAUCCGGAGGAACACCGGUGGCGAAGGCGGCCUUCUGGGCUAUCCCUGACACUGAGGCGCGAAAGCGUGGGGAGCGAACUGAAUUAGAUACUCAGGUAGUCCACGCCCUCAACGAUGGACACUAGGUGUGGGGGGUAUCGACCCCUCCCGUGCCGGAGCUAACGCAGUAAGUGUCCCGCCUGGGGAGUACGGCCGCAAGGCUAAA